rnacentral:rRNA from 1 species
UACGUAGGGGGCAAGCGUUGUCCGGAUUCAUUGGGCGUAAAGAGCGCGUAGGCGGCCAGGUAGGUCGGUUGUGAAAACUGGAGGCUCAACCUUCAGAGGUCGAUCGAAACCAUCUGGCUAGAGUCCGGGAGAGGAGAGUGGAAUUCCUGGUGUAGCGGUGAAAUGCGCAGAUAUCAGGAAGAACACCCGUGGCGAAGGCGGCUCUCUGGAACGGUACUGACGCUGAGACGCGAAAGCGUGGGGAGCGAACAGG